AUUGAACGCUGGCGGCAGGCUUAACACAUGCAAGUCGAACGAGUGGCGGACGGGUGAGUAAUGCUUGGGAAUCUAGCUUAUGGAGGGGGAUAACUACGGGAAACUGUAGCUAAUACCGCGUACCAUAGGAUGAGCGCAAGUGGGAUUAGGUAGUUGGUGAGGUAAAGGCUGACCAAGCCGACGAUCUCGAGCUGGUCGGAGAGGAUGACCAGCCACGCGUGGACUGAGAAACGGCCCAGACGCCAACGGGAGGCAGCAGUGGGGAAUAUUGCGCAAUGGGGGCAACCUGAUGCAGCAAGGCCGCGAGAAUGAAGAAGGCCUUCGGGGUGUAAAGUGCUUUUGGUAGGGAGGCGUUAACUACAGAAGAAGCAACGGCUAACUCCGUGCCAGCAGCCGCGGUAAUAC
rnacentral:rRNA from 1 species